ensembl:snoRNA SNORD14 Small nucleolar RNA SNORD14
UCACAGUGAUGAAUGGUCCAAAACAUUCGCGGUUUCCACCAGAACACUAGGUGUUGGCAAUUCCUUCCUUGGAUGUCUGAGUGA